AUUGAACGCUGGCGGCAGGCCUAACACAUGCAAGUCGAACGCGUCGCGGCCGGGUGAGUAAUGUCUGGGAAACUCCCUGAUGGAGGGGGAUCACUACUGGAAACGGUCGCUAAUACCGCAUACCAUCGGAUGUGCCCAUAUGGGAUUCGCUAGUAGGGGGGGUAAAGGCUCACCUAGGCGACGAUCCCUAGCUGGUCUGAGAGGAUGACCAGCCACACUGGGACUGAGACACGGUCCAGACUCCUACGGGAGGCAGCAGUGGGGAAUAUUGCACAAUGGGCGCAAGCCUGAUGCAGCCAUGCCGCGGGUAUGAAGAAGGCCUUCUGGUUGUAAAGUACUUUCAGCGGGGAGGCGUUACCCGCAGAAGAAGCACCGGCUAACUCCGUGCCAGCAGCCGCGGUAAUAC
rnacentral:rRNA from 1 species